CACUGAUUGAAAACAGGCAGGGUAUAGUAACCGGUUUGCUUUGACUCAGAGCUGUAGAGAUAGGCAGUUUGUCUGGUAGCAAUAUCCCUUUAAAAUGGCCGCCGGACUAAUAGUACCUCCCCUAAUCUGGGUGGCAAAUCAAGGAUUUGCACGAAUGCAGGCGUUCAUAAGCACAAACAGCCGAACAUGAGCUUUCUGGUAAUGCUGUUCGGGUGUUUGUGC